CUACAUCACACACAUUUUACAAAAUUGUAUAAAAAUUAAGAUGCGUAUUAAACUGGGCCCACAAUAACAUGUAGGGUGGCCGAAAGCCUGUCUACAUACUAUUUUUGCAUAAAAUACUACGCCAAUAAAAUAAUAAUUGCUAGUAUGCCUUAAUGAAUCAUGUUUUAAUGUUAAGUACAUGUGUCAAAGUGAAUCCUUAGGAUGAACUGUAUCUGUGGGUGUCUAUCUAAAUGACUACCUUACCCAUAGGCCAGAAAGACUAUCAUCA